GGGCGGCCCAGGCGGCGGCACCGAGGCCGCCGGCGCGGGUGGCGCGGUCGGCUGCGGGACCGAGGACGUCGGGCGGUCCGGCACCGGCGCCGCCGGC
rnacentral:tRNA from 1 species